rnacentral:rRNA from 1 species
UACGGAAGGGUGCAAGCGUUAGUCGGAAUUACUGGGCGUAAAGCGCACGUAGGCGGCUUUGCAAGUUAGAGGUGAAAGCCCGGGGCUCAACCCCGGAAUUGCCUUUAAAACUGCAUCGCUAGAAUUGUGGAGAGGUAAGUGGAAUUCCGGAGUGUAGAGGUGAAAUGCGUAGAGAUCGGGAGGAACACCGGCGGCGAAGGCGGCUGCCUGGACCAGUCCUGACGCUGGAGGCGACGAA